rnacentral:rRNA from 1 species
UACGUAGGGGGCAAGCGCUGUCCGGAAUCAUUGGGCGUAAAGCGCGUGUAGGCGGCUCGGUAAGUCCGCUCUGAAAGUCCAGGGCUCAACCCUGGGAUGCGGGUGGAUACUGUCGGGCUCGAGUCCGGAAGAGGCGAGUGGAAUUCCUGGUGUAGCGGUGAAAUGCGCAGAUAUCAGGAGGAACACCAAUGGCGAAGGCAGCUCGCUGGGACGUGACUGACGCUGAGACGCGAAAGCGUGGGGAGCAAACAGG